AGUGAACGCUGGCGGUAGGCCUAACACAUGCAAGUCGAACGGCAGCACAGUAAGAGCUUGCUCUUACGGGUGGCGAGUGGCGGACGGGUGAGGAAUACAUCGGAAUCUACUUUUUCGUGGGGGAUAACGUAGGGAAACUUACGCUAAUACCGCAUACGACCUACGGGUGAAAGCAGGGGAUCUUCGGACCUUGCGCGAUUGAAUGAGCCGAUGUCGGAUUAGCUAGUUGGCGGGGUAAAGGCCCACCAAGGCGACGAUCCGUAGCUGGUCUGAGAGGAUGAGCAGCCAGAUGGGAGCUGAGACGGGGUCGAGACUCAGACGGGAGGCAGCAGUGGGGAAUAUGGGACAAUGGGCGCAAGCUUGAUCCACCCAUACGGCGGGAGUGAAGAAGGCCUUCGGGUUGUAAAGCCCUUUUGUUGGGAAAGAAAAGCAGCAGGUUAAUACCCCGCUGUUCUGACGGUACCCAAAGAAUAAGCACCGGCUAACUUCGUG
rnacentral:rRNA from 1 species